rnacentral:tRNA from 1 species
GAAGAAGUAAGCUAAUUAAGCUCUUAGGUUCAUACCCUAAUUAUGAAAGUUUAACCUUUCCUUCUUUA